CCAGCUCAAGCACACGUGGUGCAACUACUGAAGCCCUGGAUUAGUUUAGCAUCACGUGUGUCUGAGACAACACCUGUUUUGCAUAUUUGAGCUGUUGUGAAGGAUUCUGUUCAGGGGGUUGAAUAAUUUUGUCUGCAAGUUAAACCGGUCUCACGUCGGCCCGCGUGCCUGAGUUGUGUUGCGCGCUCGCGAUGGUGCAUUAAACUAACCAAAAGCAGCUGUGUUAUAUUUGAACUCGCCCCGAGUGCAUGCACGCGUUGCGUUCCGUCAUCAACCGUCAGAGAUUUCCUCAGAGAUCAGUUUCGCUGUUUGCGUUUAAACACUGAGUCUACGAUUCUUUUCAUCUAUAAAUCGGCUCAUACGCGACUAAAGUGAAACCGUAGCCACGGCUUUGAUUAAAGGAGUCGAUUCAGUGAAGUGAUUCAUAAUGGCCGUCACUGCGGAUUGAACGCGCGCGCCAGAAGACACGAGUGAGAGAUGAACAUGGAGGACAGAAGGGAAGAGA
ensembl:lncRNA